UGAGCCCCAGCUGCUCCUGGAGGUAAGUAAAUUGCACCUGUAUGUAAUGCACCUACCUGUCUGGGCUGCCUCCCCUUUCCUUUGUCACUCCCAGCCCCCUACUGGUGCUUCCUGGGAUCACCUCCCAAACAAACAACUUGCCCUCCAAUCCUUAUCUCAGGGUCUGCAUCUAAGGGAACCUGUCUUCAUCAUGCCACAAGAACAGAAAGCUGAGAAAUGAUGGAAAGAGAAAGCAGAAGACCUCUGAGAAAGCAGGCCCAGGAACUAAGGCUGGAGGUAGGCAUUCUAGUUUUCCAGCAGUGGCUCUGCUCCUCAGUUGUUGACCUCAUCUGCCUGAACCAGUAUGGCUUUCACUACAUCUUUGCUCCAGUCAGAUGGAUGGAAGAAGUGGGGGGCGCCAACAUCUCAGUUAUUUCGAGUCAGAGGCUCUGACUUGGCAAGGGACAAAGCUGUCAAGACAGAAGUGAUACACAGUGAGAGUGAAGAGUGACCGGCUGCCGGUGAGCAAUUUAAAACAAACUUUUUUCAAAAGUAGGUUGGCUUUAUAUAACCAGAGUAAAUUGGGAAAGUGAAGAAAUAAAGUUUGGUGAAGAACUAGGGACUCCAGCCCAGAGCACACAGGGUGGUCAUGAAAAUAGCAGAGACCAUGCUCCAGCCUUGUGGGCCAGCCUAUAACACCAGUUGAAGGAGAUGUUAUAUUGACUGGGGGAGUAAAGAUUUCCUACCACUGAAGAGAGACCAGGUGAGUCCCCAAGCUCAGAAGGGACACUACCCUCAGAAGGGUAGUGUAAAUUGCAUGG